rnacentral:rRNA from 1 species
ACGCUGGCGGCAGGCCUAACACAUGCAAGUCGAGCGGUAGAGAGGAGCUUGCUCCUCUUGAGAGCGGCGGACGGGUGAGUAAUGCCUAGGAAUCUGCCUGGUAGUGGGGGAUAACGUUCGGAAACGGACGCCAAUACCGCAUACGUCCUACGGGAGAAAGCAGGGGACCUUCGGGCCCUUGCGCUAUCAGAUGAGCCUAGGUCGGAUUAGCUAGUUGGUGAGGUAAUGGCUCACCAAGGCGACGAUCCGUAACUGGUCUGAGAGGACGAUCAGUCACACUGGAACUGAGACACGGUCCAGACUCCUACGGGAGGCAGCAGUGGGGAAUAUUGGACAAUGGGCGAAAGCCUGAUCCAGCCAUGCCGCGUGUGUGAAGAAGGUCUUCGGAUUGUAAAGCACUUUAAGUUGGGAGGAAGGGCAGUAAAUUAAUACUUUGCUGUUUUGACGUUACCGACAGAAUAAGCACCGGCUAACUCUGUGCCAGCAGCCGCGGUAAUACAGAGGGUGCAAGCGUUAAUCGGAAUUACUGGGCGUAAAGCGCGCGUAGGUGGUUUGUUAAGUUGGAUGUGAAAUCCCCGGGCUCAACCUGGGAACUGCAUUCAAAACUGACUGACUAGAGUAUGGUAGAGGGUGGUGGAAUUUCCUGUGUAGCGGUGAAAUGCGUAGAUAUAGGAAGGAACACCAGUGGCGAAGGCGACCACCUGGACUAAUACUGACACUGAGGUGCGAAAGCGUGGGGAGCAAAC